AAAAAAAUUAAUUUAAGGUUAAAAAGUUUCAUGCUUUUUUUUCAUUUUCUUAAUCUUUAAAAAAAAAAUAGACAUUCAAAAAUAAUUUAACAAAAAAAUAAAAUAAGAAAAAAAAUGUUACCUUCAAAAGUCAUAUUACCAAAAUUGAACAAAAUUCCUCAACCUCACUUCGCUUUGUCUGAAAGCUUUAUUUCAAAAAAUUCUCUGUAUAAAUAAACCAAAAUCAAAUAAUUAAAUAUACUCUUGUAAAUGUGUACUGCAAACAUAAACUAUUGAUAUUGUAUGAUUAUGGAAUUCCAUAGCUGUCUUAUGUGUUAAAUUUAAUGCUAUGAUGAUUCUUUGUCCUUAUAUGCUGAUACUUUGUCAUGUUGAUACUGUGUUAGUACAUCUUGACAAUUGGUCAUAUUGGUUAUAUGCUGAUACUAUAUUAUUUAAUGCUGAUUGUUUAUCCUGAUACUUUAUCAGUAUAUGCUAUUACUUUGUCAUUAUAUGCUUAUACUUUAUUAUUAUAUGCAAAACUUUAUCAUUAUAUGCUGAUACUUUAUUAUUAAAUGCUGAUUGUUUAUCGUGAUACUUUCUCAUUAUAUACUGAUACUUUCUCUCUAUAUGCUGAUACUUUCUCAUUAAAUUAUGAUACUUUAUCAUUAUGAUACUUUGUCAUGAUGAUACUUGGUCAUUAUGAUACUUUGUCAUUAUGAUACUUUGUCAUUUUGAUACUUUGUCAUUUUGAUACUUUGUCAUUAUGAUACCUUGUCAUUAUGAUACUUUG
rnacentral:lncRNA from 1 species